GUGAUUCAGUCAGGCCUUUGUUGAGGUUUUAGGGUGUUACAGAUCUCAGACUACCACUCUCCAAAGAGUUGCUCUUGCUAAAGGGAAGCAUUCUUAUUUAGCUUCUUGGGUUCCUUUCAAUCACUCUGCAGAGAAGUGAGUUAUCUUGCCUCAUUUGUUACUGUUCUGUUCAGUUUUACAAAGAGCCUUCAUUUAAGGUAAACCUAAACUGUAAGUACCUCAAUAAUCAUGUCAAUAUUCAAUGUUCUUUAAUAGUUGAGGGAUAAAGCCAAGGCAUUAUACUGACUGCUUCUGAAAAAGCAGACCAGGACAUGAGCUGAUGUUUCCAAAUCAGUAGAUGUUUCUGAAAAAUCAGUUGCAUAUUUCCAGCUUCUUUUUAACCUUGCUGAGUGUUGAAUAUUAGUCUCUCUCCGAGACAGUCUGUCAGAAGUAGACAAGUAUCUUUGUAUAGCCAUGUCCUCAGGAAGCUAUCACCAUACCUUUGAAAAACUCCUUGGCAAAGUGAGUGUUAACAUUAAAUGCUGGGCAUUUUAGAAGGUGUCGUCAAGACAAGCGUAGGACUGAAUUCCACACCUGGGAUAUAGAAGAUGCUGCGAGAGGCCAAAGGAAGCGAAGACAGCAAACCAACAGAGGAAUAAAAUGAAUCAGGUGUAGGAGGAGGAGCAAUGAUGAUGACUGAAAAUAGCGCAGGCCCUGGUUGUGAAGGUAACUGUGACAAGACAUAGCUUACUUUUUAUUCCAGAGGGACCUCUAAAAAGCAGCUAUGCAUAAGCAUCACUAAAAGACCAACUCUAAGUCUUAAUCUGAUCCCUUGGUCCAUGUGCCUAUAAUUAAAACCAGAAGUGAAAUCUCUGGUGCUUUGUGGACAAUACCUAAGCCUGGUGUGCUAAGUCUGCAUCCUAUAUCUUCUAAGGAGGAAAAUUAAGCUGUGAAGUGGAAUUCCAUCAGGCUGUCUACUGUGAAGCCCUGUGGCUUUAGCAAAGGGGCAGCAGUGGUCAGAAAUGACACUCAAAAGAGGACAGACAUUCCCAGAUGUGCUGGGUACACUGCCAGGCUGGUGCUGCCUUUUACCUCCCUGGGGUUGUAUUC